AACGAACGCUGGCGGCAGGCUUAACACAUGCAAGUCGAACGCAUCCUUCGGGGUGAGUGGCAGACGGGUGAGUAACGCGUGGGAAUCUACCCUGAUCUGCGGGAUAGCUCCGGGAAACUGGAAUUAAUACCGCAUAUGUCCUGAGGGACAAAGAUUCAUCGGUUCAGGAUGAGCCCGCGUCCGAUUAGCUAGUUGGUGGGGUAAAGGCCUACCAAGGCGACGAGCGGUAGCUGGUCUAAGAGGACGAUCAGCCUCAUUGGGACUGAGACACGGCCCAACCUCCUACGGGAGGCAGCAGUGGGGAAUAUUGGACAAUGGGCGCAAGCCUGAUCCAGCCAUGCCGCGUGAGUGAUGAAGGUCUUAGGAUUGUAAAGCUCUUUCACCGGGGACGAUAAUGACGGUACCCGGAGAAGAAGCCCCGGCUAACUUCGUGCCAGCCGCCGCCGUAA
rnacentral:rRNA from 1 species